UUUAAAGUAAAUUAAAAUUUUAUAUUAGUAUCUGAUAAGAGCAUGAAAAUAAAAGAAUUUGGCGGUAAUUUAUUCAAAUUAGAGGAACCUGUUCUAUAAUUGAUAUUACACGAUUUAAAUAAUUUAUAUUAAAUAGUUUGUAUAUCGUUGUAAAAGAAUAUUUUUAAAAAAUACUAAUAUUUAAGAUUUAAAAAAUUUAAAAUAAUUCAAAUCAAGGUGCAGUUAAUAUAUAAAAAGAAAUGGGUUACAAUAUAAAUAAAUAUAUUGAUUUAAGUUUGUAAAAUUUAAUGAAAAUGGAUUUAAAAGUAAUAUUUUUAAAUUAAUAAUAAUGAAUUUGUUUUAAAUUAUGU
rnacentral:rRNA from 1 species